rnacentral:lncRNA from 1 species
CUAAGUUAAAGACUUUCCUUUGGACUUUAUGGUAAAGGCAAUGGGGAGCCAUUGAAGGGUUUAAAAGUAAGUGAGUGACAUGAUCAUAUUUGUGUUUCAGAUUUUAAAGGUCAUCCUGGCUGCUGCAAGGAGAAGAGAUUGAAGUGGGGCAGCAUCACGGGCACCUGCGGGCCCAGAAGGAGAGAAAAUAGAAGAAUGUGUGGAACUGGUGAAAAGCAACAAGGUAAGCCACCUCCCAGUUUACCCUGAACUCUAAUUCCAUCUUUCUAAUUUCAUGCCGGUUUAUUUCUAGUAGCAGUUACAGAAGGGAAAGAAGAGGCAAUAAGUUUCAUUCAUUUCUAUUAACAUUAAGAUAGUGACUACUCUAUGCCAAGCACUUGGGAUU